GGCGGCUGUGUGACUUUGGGGCUGUGUUAAGUGACUUUAAUGUGGCUGCCUGCUGGCCAGAGAGAAGUUUCAAGAAUCUGCUUUAAGGGUAAUCUUUUGUGGGGACCAGUGCCAGAAUCAACCAGUUUCCAAAGAGAAGAAUAAAAAGAGAUCAAGGGACAAGCAAUGGUGGAGACAGCAUGAAGCAUGAAGUCCAUCUGCUCUGUGUCACCAAGCUGAGUUCCCUGGGCCCAGACUGGUGGCAAAAAAGACCAGUUCCUCUUCUGAUUCUGUUUCUCUGUGCCCGAGUCAACUUCUCCACUAUGCUUUCUCAGAUUCAUGGACAGCGUUCUCUGGAAUCAACGUUUCC